UACGAAGGGGGCUAGCGUUGCUCGGAAUGACUGGGCGUAAAGGGCGCGUAGACGGAUGGUACAGUCAGAUGUGAAAUUCCCGGGCUCAACCUGGGGGCUGCAUUUGAUACGUGCUGUCUUGAGUUCGGAAGAGGGUCGUGGAAUUCCCAGUGUAGAGGUGAAAUUCGUAGAUAUCGAGAGGAACACCGGUGGCGAAGGCGGCCAACUGGACGAAUACUGACGCUGAGACUCGAAAGCGUGGGGAGCAAACAGG
rnacentral:rRNA from 1 species